rnacentral:rRNA from 1 species
UACGAAGGGGACUAGCGUUGUUCGGAAUCACUGGGCGUAAAGCGCACGUAGGCGGAUGUGUCAGUCAGGGGUGAAAUCCCGGGGCUCAACCUCGAGACGUCGAUGGAAACCAUCUGGCUAGAGUCCGGAAGAGGAGAGUGGAAUUCCUGGUGUAGCGGUGAAAUGCGCAGAUAUCAGGAAGAACACCCGUGGCGAAGGCGGCUCUCUGGUACAGUGACUGACGCUGAGACGCGAAAGCGUGGGGAGCAAACAGG